rnacentral:ncRNA from 1 species
UUUCCCUCAGAAUAGAAAGCUGUUAUAUUCGGUAAAAUGAUUGAUUGGAAGAACUAUGGGAUGAGACGUGUUCAAUCUUUUCUCAAACGUUCAAUGAGUAUGACGUUUUGCUUGCUUGAAUGAAAUGUAACAUUAAAUGUGUGAUUUACGUACGCCAUUUUUGGCGUACGAACAAAACUGGAUGGCGCUGUAAGAUGAACCA